GCCCUCAUAGCUCAGAAGGUAGAGCGCGUUCUUGGUAAGAACGAGGUCAGCAGUUCGAAUCUGCUUGAGGGCU
rnacentral:tRNA from 1 species